rnacentral:snRNA from 1 species
AAAUCCACUAUGGCUGUGGAAUAUCACCAUAUUAAUCAUCAUCAUGGUGGAUCUGGCUGGCUAGGUGUGUAUUCCCCUCGUCACUUUACUCCUUCAUGUGCAUCCAUACUGAAGCUGUGUUCGUCGUCCAAGAGGACAACCUUCCAAUGACAGAGGAGAACAGGUCUUCUAGAGUCUAAAGGUAUCAGAACACCCCUGCUAGAAUCUCUACAAGUGUCUCCUUUACAUCUCUAACAGAUUCCACCCAUUUCAUAUCUUUCAUAAGAAGUGGUUUUCAGUUCUGGAAUAUUUAGAAGUAAAAUUGAUGUAGUCAUGAUUAUUUUGAUCCAUUU